rnacentral:rRNA from 1 species
GACGAACGUUGGCGGCGUGCUUAAUACAUGCAAGUCCACUGAAGCAGUGGUAGCAAUAUCGCUGUGGAGGUGGCGCACGGGUGAGUAACACGUAGGUAAUCUGCCUUCAGGUCUGGCAUAACUCCGGGAAACCGGGGCUAAUAGCAGAUGAUGCAGCGGCUCGACAUCGAGACAGUUGUUAAAGCUAUGGCGCCUGAAGAUGAGCCUGCGUCUGAUUAGCUAGUUGGCGGGGUAACGGCCCACCAAGGCAACGAUCAGUAGCUGGUCUGAGAGGAUGAUCAGCCACACUGGAACUGAGACACGGUCCAGACUCCCACGGGAGGCAGCAGUAAGGAAUAUUGCUCAAUGGGAGAAAUCCUGAAGCAGCAACGCCGCGUGAGGGACGAAGGGCUUUUGCUUGUAAACCUCUGUAGUGAGAGAAAAAAAUCCCAAUCUUUGGGACAUGAUGGUAUCUCAAAAGUAAGCCCCGGCUAACUACGUG